rnacentral:rRNA from 1 species
AGAGUUUGAUCCUGGCUCAGGAUGAACGCUAGCGGCAGGCUUAACACAUGCAAGUCGGAGGGGCAGCAUAAUGGUAGUAAUACUAUUGAUGGCGACCGGCGGACGGGUGCGUAACGCGUAUGCAACCUACCCUUUUACAGGGGGAUAACACUGUAGAAAUCGGUACUAAUACCCCAUAAUAUUCUGGGAGGCAUCUUUCGGAGUUGAAAGCUUUGG